rnacentral:rRNA from 1 species
AGAGUUUGAUCAUGGCUCAGGAUGAACGCUAGCUACAGGCUUAACACAUGCAAGUCGAGGGGCAGCAUGAAGUUUGCUUGCAAACUUUGAUGGCGACCGGCGCACGGGUGAGUAACGCGUAUCCAACCUUCCCUAUACUAGAGGAUAGCCCGGCGAAAGUCGGAUUAAUACUCUAUGUUGUAUUUAGAAGACAUCUUAAGAAUACCAAAGGUUUACCGGUAUAGGAUGGGGGAUGCGUCUGAUUAGGUUGUUGGCGGGGUAACGGCCCACCAAGCCUACGAUCAGUAGGGGUUCUGAGAGGAAGGUCCCCCACAUUGGAACUGAGACACGGUCCAAACUCCUACGGGAGGCAGCAGUGAGGAAUAUUGGUCAAUGGACGAGAGUCUGAACCAGCCAAGUAGCGUGCCAGGAUGACGGCCCUAUGGGUUGUAAACUGCUUUUAUACAGGGAUAAAGUUCACUACGUGUAGUGUUUUGUAGGUACUGUAUGAAUAAGGACCGGCUAAUUCCGUGCCAGCCGCAGC